GACGAACGCUGGCGGCGUGCUUAACACAUGCAAGUCGAACGGAAAGGCCCUGCUUUUGUGGGGUGCUCGAGUGGCGAACGGGUGAGUAACACGUGAGUAACCUGCCCUUGACUUUGGGAUAACUUCAGGAAACUGGGGCUAAUACCGGAUAGGAGCUCCUGCUGCAUGGUGGGGGUUGGAAAGUUUCGGCGGUUGGGGAUGGACUCGCGGCUUAUCAGCUUGUUGGUGGGGUAGUGGCUUACCAAGGCUUUGACGGGUAGCCGGCCUGAGAGGGUGACCGGCCACAUUGGGACUGAGAUACGGCCCAGCCUCCUACGGGAGGCAGCAGUGGGGAAUAUUGCACAAUGGGCGGAAGCCUGAUGCAGCAGCGCCGCGUGCGGGAUGACGGCCUUCGGGUUGUAAACCGCUUUCGCCUGUGACGAAGCGUGAGUGACGGUAAUGGGUAAAGAAGCACCGGCUAACUACGUG
rnacentral:rRNA from 1 species